UACGAAGGGGGCUAGCGUUGCUCGGAUUUAUUGGGCGUAAAGAGCGUGUAGGCGGCCAGACAGGUCCGUUGUGAAAACUCGAGGCUCAACCUCGAGACGCCGAUGGAAACCGUCUGGCUAGAGUCCGGAAGAGGAGAGUGGAAUUCCUGGUGUAGCGGUGAAAUGCGCAGAUAUCAGGAAGAACACCCGUGGCUAAGGCGGCUCUCUAGUACGGUACUGACGCUGAGACGCGAAAGCGUGGGGAGCAAACAGG
rnacentral:rRNA from 1 species